rnacentral:rRNA from 1 species
GACGAACGCUGGCGGCGUGCUUAACACAUGCAAGUCGAACGGAAAGGCCCUGCUCUUGUGGGUUGCUCGAGUGGCGAACGGGUGAGUAACACGUGAGUAACCUGCCCUUUACUUUGGGAUAACUUCAGGAAACUGGGGCUAAUACCGGAUAGGAGCUCCGGCGGCAUGGAGGGGGUUGGAAAGUUUCGGCGGUUGGGGAUAGACUCGCGGGUUAUCAGCUUGUUGGUGGGGUAGUGGCAUACCAAGUCUUUGACGGGUAGCCGGCCUGAGAGGGUGACCGGCCACAAUGGGACUGAGAUACGGCCCAGACUGCUACGGGAGGCAGCAGGGGGGAAUAUUGCACAAUGGGCGCAAGCCUGAUACAGCAACGCCGCGUUCGGGAUGACGGCCUUCGGGUUGUGAACCGGUUCCGCCUGUGACGAAGCGUGAGUGACGGUAAUGGGUAAAGAAGCACCGGCUAACUACGUG